CAGAAAAACCUCCAAUCAAUCGCGCGGAGCGCACCGCAGAAGCGCGCCCAAAACCCCAAUCUUGCCUCACCCUCACCUCGCCGCCGAUGGCCACGAUGACGGCCGUCCGCCGCGCCGCCCUCGCCUGCCGCGUCUCGAGCCGCCUCCUCUCCCACUCCUUCGCCUCCUCCGCCGCCACCCACUCGCGCCCCUCUUUAACCCUCCUCGGCCACUUCUAUCACCCCAUGUGCCCGCAGGACCCUCGCGCGUUCCAGCUGCCGCCGCCUGCCGCCCCGGCCUUCCAGCCCCUCACCGCCUCCUCGCCGCGCCUCUCCCUCGACUUCCUACCCGACAUCUUCGACUACACCCUCUACGACUCCCACCGCGGCCUCCUGCUCCUCCGCCGGAAGCUCCAGUUCGACACCCGCGACUUCCUCGUCUGCGACCCCGUCUCGCGCCGCCACGCGCUGCUCCCCCCGCCGCCCAUCACCUCCCUCAACGGCGGCGAGGUCCUCGGCUGCGCGCUCCUCUCCCGCGACCGCGACGCCCCCGCGGACCCCGACGGCGAGCUCCGGUUCGAGCUCCUCUUCGUUGCCCUCGACGUCGACCGCCCGCGCGCCUGGGUCGCGUCCUUCCGCGACGGCUGGUGCCGCUGGAACGCGCUGCCGCGGUCGCGCGGGGUCACCAUCGACUUCGACGCCAUGAGGUUCGAGCGCAUGUGCGUGCACGCCGCGGGGGGCAUGUACUGGCACAUCCUCAGCAGCCCCUCCGCGCUCGCGCUCGACGCCGCCACCAUGGAGUUCUCCUUCGUCCGGGCGCCGGAGAUGAUGUGGGGAGAGCUCGACGGGCACCACAAGUACCGCAUCGGCGAGGUGCCCGAGGACGGACGUUUGUGCGUGGCUUCGCUGGAGAGGCAGCAUGGCCUCCAGAUGUGCGUGCGUGGCAAUGGGGACAACGGCUGGGUGCUGGAGAGGCGCAUACCCAUGGGGGAGGUGCUCGACACCGUGCCGUCCCUGCCCAAGGACCCCAUGAGGCGGCACGCCAGGCUGUGGCUGGGCGACGUCGACCAUGGGCGAACCGGGAGGGUCUUCAUCAACACCCUGGGCUUCGGCAACUUCUCCUACGACAUGAACACCAAGAAGCUCGAAUAUUUGGCGGCCGAAGAAGAUGGCAUGACAUUUGGACACCCCGUGUUUGCCUACUUCUCGGCCCCAGACUGCUGCUCUGCCUCUGCGUGACCAUGGGUGUUCAUUGUGCCACUGGGAUAAUUUAGCUGCACAUUUUAGUGUAAAGGGUGGUGACUACGUACCGGUGAGUCUGGAGGCCUCGACACCUUUUUGUUCAAAGUCAGCUCGCAGGAAGCUUCUACAUACGUUCUUAUGAUGCAUGAGGCAGUGGCAAUGGAGUUUCUACUGUCUGCUACGUUAUGUAAGUGCAAUGGGACAACAUGAAUGGAGUCCUUAAAACAGCAGGUUGUGUGGUAAUCUCAUUCUCCUGUUGGUUUCAUGGAUGAGAAUCUCACAAACUCACGGUACCCUGAGAUUCGGUGAACCGUGUGGCGCAGAGGAAUGCUGAUGUUGUUCUUUCAACAUGUUAAUCUGUGUUCAAUGGCAACUUUUUGUUACUGUCA